rnacentral:lncRNA from 1 species
AUCCUUACUUUAACUGGCAGUGAGGGAGGUGAAUUAUCUGAAAAGCUAAGAACAACAUGACCCAAAUGUUCAUGAGUGCAGGGGCAGGGCCUAACUGAGGGAGACGGUCCGUUGAGACUUGUGUUUUCUUGAAUUUGGAUGUGAGGGAGUGAAAGGCUUACAUGGUACAUCUUUGACUGCAAGUCCCAUCAUCCACAUACCUUUCUGAUUGUAAAGAGCCAUUUGACAGAGGAACGGAUUUCCUCAGAAAGAGAUGGAUUCUUCUUGGUCAAAGGUAGGUUGAAUGACAGGCAGACAAUUGGCUUAGAUGAUCUUUGGGAUUUUAACCAACUCUGUGAUUCUAGGAUUCUAGGACUCUGCACACUGGCUGGGACUGCUUCCUAGAGUUUUCUAUGAACAGGAUUCUCUUCAGGGCCCACAACUGCUAGAAGCAAAAUUGCCUUCUUCACCAUGGGACACAUGGAGUUUUGAUGUUUCUUCAGCCUUUAUUGAGGAGAGCCAUUGAUUCUGUGGGUCUCGUUAAGUUGGAAGAGCACUGAGGCCCAAAACUGCUGGUAAGGGAAGAUGAAAUUAGGUUAGCAGGGCAUACAAGGAGAUAUAUUUAAUUAUUUGGGAAAGCUGAGCAUCUGGAAUAAGAUGGCUUAU